rnacentral:piRNA from 1 species
GUGAAGUACCCUAAAGAUUA